rnacentral:rRNA from 1 species
GACGAACGUUGGCGGCGUGCUUAAUACAUGCAAGUCAACUGAAGCAGUGGUAGCAAUAUCGCUGUGGAGGUGGCGCACGGGUGAGUAACACGUAGGUAAUCUGCCUUCAGGUCUGGCAUAACUCCGGGAAACCGGGGCUAAUAGCAGAUGAUGCAGCGGCUCGACAUCGAGACAGUUGUUAAAGCUAUGGCGCCUGAAGAUGAGCCUGCGUCUGAUUAGCUAGUUGGCGGGGUAACGGCCCACCAAGGCAACGAUCAGUAGCUGGUCUGAGAGGAUGAUCAGGCACACUGGAACUGAGACACGGUCCAGACUCCUACGGGAGGCAGCAGUAAGGAAUAUUGCUCAAUGGGAGAAAUCCUGAAGCAGCAACGCCGCGUGAGGGACGAAGGGCUUUUGCUUGUAAACCUCUGUAGUGAGAGAAAAAAAUCCCAAUCUUUGGGACAUGAUGGUAUCUCAAAAGUAAGCCCCGGCUAACUACGUG